GCAGCCUGAGCUGGGAUUGAUAAAGGACCAUCGUUCUCCGCUAAUUUAUGCAUUCAUUGGUUGAUUCUUAUACGUCGGGACUGAGCCAGCAACCUUGGUGUAUGGGGAAGAUACUCUAACUGACUGACCUACCAUUCUCAAAACUUGAGCGCUCAUCAGGACCAUUUGGAAGAUAUUUUAAAUCAUAGACUGCAUGGAAGAAAGAUGGAAGAACGCCAAAAAUACAAGAAAGAGGAAAAGGAGGAGGGAUGGAAGGAGUAAAAAGAAGAGGAGGAAAGGGAUGCAGGUCUGAUUAAAUACAUCUCUUGGAAUAGUUAUCUGCAACCUCCAUUCUUCACAACAGCCUUUUGAGACAGUGUGGCAGAUCACUCUCUCACUAUCCGUAUGCUGCAGAUGAGGGAUCUGAAGAUCAAAAAUGUUCAUUACUUUUUACAAGGGUCUAUAGCCAUUAAAAGAAGGGGGUAGGGUGGGGAAGAAGGAGCGGAUGGGACUUAACUAGUAGACUGUGGUAUCCUAGAUUUCAUCACAUGGCUACUCAAGAAUGUUGAGAAACAAAGCAUAUGUACAAGGAAAGGAAAUAUGAGGACAAAUCCUGAAUUUUCACACAAAUCCAGCAUUACACUGAAUGUCAGCACCACAUCAGCUUUUCCAAUGUAAUUUUGAGGUGCCAUUUUUUAUGUUAUAGUGACGUGACUGAAUAAACACA